rnacentral:rRNA from 1 species
UACGGAGGGUGCGAGCGUUGUCCGGAAUCACUGGGCGUAAAGGGCGCGUAGGCGGCCUGAUAAGUAGGGGGUGAAAUCCUGCGGCUUAACCGCAGGGCUGCCUUCUAAACUGUCAGGCUCGAGCACAGUAGAGGCAGGUGGAAUUCCCGGUGUAGCGGUGGAAUGCGUAGAUAUCAAGAGGAACACCAGUGGCGAAGGCGAGUCCCUGGACAACACCUGACACUGAGGCACGAAAGCUAGGGGAGCAAACAGG